rnacentral:lncRNA from 1 species
UAAACUAGUUACAAACCCGUGCUUCGCACGGGUUGAAUAACGUAUCUUAUAAAAAAAAUAUUCCAAAAGAAAUAUUUACCAAAAAUAUUUAUGAAAGCUCUACCAAGUCUUGAUUCAUGAAAAGAUGAUAUACUUUGUUCAUGAAACCAGGAAAACACGAUCAUAAUUAAGUUGAAACUAAUUGGAACCAAUGCAGGGUAAAGAGCAUAGAAAUAAAUUUGAACUUCAUCGAGUUUUUUUCUAUUUUUUAAACAGUUUCACUUAUCACCUAUAGAAGUUGAGAUUUGAUUAGAUAUGAUUGUUGGU